rnacentral:lncRNA from 1 species
GUAUGGUGCUGGGUGCAGAUGCAGUGUGGCUCUGGAUAGCACCUUAUGGACAGUUGUGUCCCCAAGGAAGGAUGAGAAUAGCUACUGAAGUCCUAAACAGCAAGCCUAACUCAAGCCAUUGGCACACAGGCAUUAGACAGAAAGCUGGAAGUUGAAAUGGUGGAGUCCAACUUGCCUGGACCAGCUUAAUGGUUCUGCUCCUGGUAACGUUUUUAUCCAUGGAUGACUUGCUUGGGUAUGGAGAGUCGGCUUGACUACACUGUGUGGAGCAACUUUUAAAGAAGCAAAGGACUCAGAAUUCAUGAUUGAAGAAAUGCAGGCAGACCUGUUAUCCUAAACUAGGGUUUUUAACGACCACAACAAGCAAGCAUGCAGCUUACUGCUUGAAAGGGUCUUGCCUCACCCAAGCUGGAGUGCAGUGGCCUUUGAAGCUUACUACAGCCUCAAACUUCUGGGCUCAAGUGAUCCUCAGCCUCCCAGUGGUCUUUGUAGACUGCCUGAUGGAGUCUCAUGGCACAAGAAGAUUAAAACAAUGUCUCCAAUUUUAAUAAAUUUUUGCAAUCCA